GGAGGAAAGCAGGGGAUCGCAAGACCUUGCGCUUUUGGAGCGGCCGAUGCCUGAUUAGCUUGUUGGUGAGGUAAAAGCUUACCAAGGCUUCGAUCAGUAGCUGGUCUGAGAGGACGACCAGCCACACUGGGACUGAGACACGGCCCAGACUCCUACGGGAGGCAGCAGUGGGGAAUUUUGGACAAUGGGGGCAACCCUGAUCCAGCCAUGCCGCGUGAGUGAAGAAGGCCUUCGGGUUGUAAAGCUCUUUCAGCCGGAACGAAACGGUUACGAUUAAUACCCGUAACUACUGACGGUACCGGAAGAAGAAGCACCGGCUAACUACGUGCCAGCAGCCGCGGUAAUACGUAGGGUGCGAGCGUUAAUCGGAAUUACUGGGCGUAAAGCGUGCGCAGGUGGUUUUGUAAGUCAGAUGUGAAAUCCCCGGGCUUAACCUGGGAACUGCGUUUGAAACUACAAAGCUAGA
rnacentral:rRNA from 1 species